rnacentral:rRNA from 1 species
CUUUUGCUGACGAGUGGCGCACGGGUGAGUAAUAUAUAGGUAACGUGCCUCUUAGUCUGGGAUAGCCAUUGGAAACGAUGAUUAAUACUAGAUACUCCUUCUCAUUAUAAUUUGAGUCGGGAAAGUUUUUCGCUAAGAGAUCGGCCUAUAUCCCAUCAGUUAGUUGGUAAGGUAACGGCUUACCAAGGCAAUGACGGGUAGCGGGUUUGAGAGGAUGAUCCGCCACACUGGUACUGAGACACGGACCAGACUCCUACGGGAGGCAGCAGUGAGGAAUAUUGCACAAUGGAGGAAACUCUGAUGCAGCAACGCCGCGCGAAGGAUGACGCAUUUCGGUGUGUAAACUCCUUUUAUAAGGGAAGAAAAUGACGGUACCUUAUGAAUAAGCACCGGCUAACUCCGUGCCAGCAGCCGCGGUAAUACGGAGGGUGCAAGCGUUACUCGGAAUCACUGGGCGUAAAGGACACGUAGGCGGGUUGUUUUUUUCAGGUGUGAAAUCCUACAGCUUAACUGUAGAACUGCACUUGAAACUGGCAACCUAGAGUAUGGGAGGGGGAGAUGGAAUUAGUGGUGUAGGGGUAAAAUCCGUAGAUAUCACUAGGAAUACCGAAAGCGAAGGCGAUCUCCUGGAACAUUACUGACGCUAAGGUGUGAAAGCGUGGGGGAGCAAACGGGGAUUUAGAUACCCCGGGUAGUCCACGCCCCUAAACGAUGAACACUAGUCGUCCGGGGAUGCUAGUCAUCUC